rnacentral:lncRNA from 1 species
UUUUCCUCUGUUUUCCUUUUCACGCGGCUUCUUAGACACGCUUUCCAUCAUAUCAUUCAAAAAACCCUAAUUAUAUUCUCUUGCCAUUUCAUACAUCUGCGAUUUUAUUAGAAAUACCUGAUCUAUAGCAUGGCGAUUCUCAUCAAAGUGAUUGUUGGAAACCCUAAAUUGUAACCAGUGGAAUUGAAUUCAGAGGAAUCUACACCAGUUAUUCGAGGAUUACUGAUUUAGUCUUGAUGGAAUGAUGGAUCUUUCAAAUGUUGUUUGUGAUUUUCAUCCCAGGUCUUCAAUUCUUUGAUUUCGAUAUUCACAGGUCUGAAAUGUUGACAUGUACAAUCAACUAUCAGGUUAUGUAGUUGAUAGAUUUUGACAUAGUUUGACCGAUUUAUUCUCUCAAGUGUAUCGUUGAGGUAUCAUUGCGUAUUUCCAAAACACAUUCCUGAUCCAUACGUUAACCUAGGGUUUUUCUAAUCAAUAUCAAACACUAAUACCCAAAUUGUCUUGAUAUUUUUACUGUUGAGGUGAAUAUUAGGGUUUAUUGCUUGCUUAUCAUCUCAUAUUCCUUUUCGUUUAGUAGUUUUGUAAUUGAAUGUUGAAGUAAAGUUUGUUGCGAAUAUUACGCAUGUAUUAGUUGUUUCUGAUUGUUAAUUGAUUUAGAAAAUGUUUUGUGUUAAAUGAAGACGAGAACAAGGUCUUUAGUGUAGUAUUCAAAACUCCUCCGUAAGUUUCUUUUCAGAAUCUAGAAAUUGUUGUCUAUUUGUUUAUGCGCAUAUGCAUUGUUAAUUGAAGCAGCUGAAUAUUUAAUAAUGUAGUAGACCGUUAUGUGUAAUUAGUUCCAAUCUUAGAUUAUAAAAAAUUUUAUUAAGUAUAUACACGGCAGCCAAAGAUUGCACCACGUUAUACUAAUUGUCACUUGACUCACUUUAUCCGACUGCAGGAAAGAUUUGACUGGAAUUCCUCAUAUAUAGGAACACAGUGUCCUAUUUGGUUCAAGAAAGUACCCUUUAAAAGAACCAUUUGUUGAACUACUGAAGGGGAGUUUGCAUACUUUUCUUAAUGCAUUCACAUAUCCUGAUAAGACAUGCUAUCAUGUUGCAUCUACAAACACAAAGGAUUUUUAUAAUUUGGUAGAAGUAUACAGGGGCGGACCUACAUAGGUCUUUACGGGUUCCCAGGAACCCAUUGCGUUUUGAAAUUUUAAUAGAAAUUAUAUGUAAAAAACCAAAGUGAACCCAUAAGAAAAUUAAAGGUGAACCCAUUAACACUAAAGAAGCAUGUUCCAGCGGAUAAAAUUCAGGUUUCUGUCCAAAGCGUUUCAGGGCUCCAGACACAAUCAGAAACGCAACCAGUAGUGAAGUAGUGAACCCUGAAUCAAUUUUGCACCUUCUUCUUUUCCUCCUGAGAAGAAAGGAUCUGAUGACCAUCAAUGGGCUCAGAGGCAUCUCAACUAAGUACUAAGUUAACGACCAUGACAGCCACCAGCGCUCACGGUUCUGUAGACUUUAUUCUGUUGUCAUAGAUCACACUUAUACCGUCAAUAAUCUAAGUGAAUUUGAACAUUUUGUCAUAAUUUUUUAGCAACUGAGACGCGUUUUCAUAUUGUUCAGAUUUAUUAAAUUAGAGGAUAUAUGUUUACUAUAUUUCUCCCAAGUCUAAUUAUUAUUGUGUAAUAAUAGGUCUCCACUUUAGUAAUAGAAACUUAGCUCAAUUUGUGGUCUGUUUUAAGCACAUCAUAUGCCCACCACCCUUAGGUAAACCUUGCUACAUGAUAUUGAUAGACUAAUAGUUAUACAUAUAUUGACUUUACAGGAACAAUUCAAGGUUUAGGAAAUGAAUGCAAUUUGAAGUAUAAAUAUGUCUCUUAAUCAAACACAAAAGAAGCCCUAAUUAGUUCAUUAUGAUACAAAUUAUUUCGUGAAAGGAAACAAUAAUACUGACUACCCCAUUUGCAAGUCGGAAUGCCAUAAAUUUCAUCGUCGGUACAAGCAUCACAGAGAAUGGAGGAGUGUAAUCACGAUUUAAGGUAACUUUCGAAUUACUCCGACCUUCCCUUUUUUAUUGAAUACUUGUGUUAUACGAAUAUCAAUUUUGAAUUUGUGAUUUAGUUUUAUUGAAACUUGAGAAUGGUUAUUGAAAAAAAUUCAUCAACGUUUGGUAUGUUCCCCUAACCCGACUCAAAAACUCUAACUUUUGGUUGGGAAAAAAUUGACCUUCGAAAAAAGUGAACCCAUAUGAAAAAAAUUCUGGAUCUGCCACUGGAUGUAUAUCUGGAUGCUGUUUUCUUUCCCCAAAUGUGUGGAGGACAUUCAGACUUUUCAACAAGAGGGUUGGCAUUAUGAGUUGAACAACCCUGAAGAAGAAAUAACUUAUAAAGGUCAAUAUGAUUUUCGCCAAGUAAUCCUUACUGAUCUUGAGUUUUUAGUUUUUAUUAUAAAUAUAUAUUCUAUUGUUAUUUAUAUGAUUACAUGCUCGCAUAGACUUCUCCUAUUAAUCAAAUUCCUUUAUUAAAUGAGCUCAAAUUAAAGGUUUAGUUGGCCUGAACACAUAUAAACUCGGCUCGAUAUUAACUUGCUAAACCGAAGAUUUUCGUUUUUAACUUUCAUCAAUUUCAUAAAUACGUCUUAUUUCAAACUGACUUCGAAAUAUAGUUCUAUACAAAUGGUUGAGCUGCGAUCAUUCUAUUGUUUUAUUUGAAAAGUUUUAUUUCUACAGCAAGCAAUUGACGGAUUCAUGUAUAUGACUUAACUUUGCACAUGAUAAAGAUUUACUUGGCAUGUAGCUUUUAAAGAAACUUUUUGAACCAACUAACAAAUUGGGCGGGUUGGGCAGGUGUGGGUCACCUGUUAAAGUGACUUUGGGUCAGAAUGAGUUCAGGUCAAUAUGGUUUAGGAUUAAAAUGAGUUUGGGUUAAGACGGGCUCAGAGCAAAAUGAGUUCGGUUCAUUUAAAAAACUUAUUAAUUAAGAUCGGGUAAACGUGAGUUUGGAGCAAAAUUAAUUUGGGUCAAACAGGUAGUUUAAAAGAAAAACUUUCAAACUUUUGGAAUCUCUUGAAAAAAGUAAAGACUAGAAAAUAGUGCGAGUUGGGUAACGGUGAAACAGGUGGUUUGAGAUACGGGUUAAAAAGGUGAGUCAACUUAGUUAACCUCUUACACCAUUACCAUUUAUUAUAGUUUUAUAGUUGUUUAGUACAUGGUAACUGAGUUUGUGCUUAUGCAGUCUAGAAACCACAAGGCAUGUUUCAGUGAUUAUAAUAACUCUCUCUACAAAGGAACUGAAUACAUCAUCUAUUGGAUAUCAGCCCACAUUAUCAGCUAAUCAGAUGAAAGUGGCAACUGAGUUUGAGUAUCAUGGAGGUAUGUCUUUCUAGGCAUUUGUUUAUCAAGCAUUAAUGAUGAAGAGUGCACGUGUAGCUAAGGAAGUCGAUCACAAGCUCUAUACUACUGGCCCGAAAGAAAGCAAUAAAGGCUUUGGUGGUCACGAUCUCGAACAACGAGAGGUUGUGGUAAAAUUCCCACCCUAUCACAAACCCGAUCCCGAUGAGUCUACUGUUUCGUAGGAGAUGACGAGUGAGGAUGGUGGUAUGUGGAAGUAAGCAACAACAGCAGCUGCUGUAGCACCAGAGCCGAUGAACCAAAUUUCCCCCGCCGCCUCAAUAGAACGUGAUAUCCAAACCCGAUGCAUCCAAAUUUGAUGCGAAGGGGCAGGGAAAAGAGACAACACUUUGAACAACAAAAACGUGAUACUACAUGUCAUAUAAAGAAUUCCGGAAGAAAUUAUGACGUUGGGGACAAAAAAUGACAUGCGAACAUCACAAUCAAGUUAGCCAACCAAGUCAGCAGGCUUUUUUCCGUAUACGAUGAUUUUGCGAUCUAUUGGGAUGGAUGAGAAGUCUGCCACAUCUCACCCUUCCCAGCUCUACUUUAUUAGUAAGACAUUACUAAGAAUGUUGUUUGUUUUUAUUUUGCUAUUUGAUCGCGCUAUGCUGUUUUUUUUAAGCCAACAAAAACUGAAAGCUCAAUAGGGCAGUUGAUCUCAUGCCUGGGUUGUUGAGCAUGAAGAAUCCAAUAAAAUGAAUGCUAGAAACAUUAGCAUGGUUAUCGCCCCAACAUGACUCAGAGAGCCAAAUGUUAAUAAGUCAACUCCAUAUAAUUCUUCAGGUAGAAAAAUGGGCGGGUUGGGUCACUGGUUAGACGGGUAUAUUUUUCAUACCAAAUGGCUGCCAGUAGGGAUGAGCGUGGUACUGGUACCGGUACCGAAAAAUGUUCGGUAUUGUACCGACACAGGACCGGUGUGGUUCUGGUAUUUGAAGGCAAAAUUCGGUAUUUUUCCGGUGCCGAACUGAAGGUACCGGUACCAACAAGGCCAAAAACUGGGUACCGAAUACAAAUCCGAAAAAUUCGGUACAUGUAAUUUGGUACCCAGUACCAAAUGCUCAUCCCUAGCUGCCAGUCCAGCACUUUUUUGUCCAUUUUUCUAAUUUGUUACUUAGUUUGUACACAUAUCUUCAUAAUAAUCUGUAUAAUUUUGUCUUUAGUGUUAGUCUAUAAGCUUGCAGAUAUGUGGUUGUGCAUAUAAAAAAUAUUCAAGGACAUAAUGGGUUAUGCAUUUGAGGAAUAAUCAUGCGACUGGUAAUUUGAGCCUAAUCCAGAUUCCACUAGAAACUUUGUUAUUUCUCAUGGUUGCACUGAAGUGGCAGCCCAAGCCUAUAGUUUGGUUGACUUUGAGCAUAAAAGGUUCUUUGGUGAGCGUAAAUGAAAGCUUUCGAAGAUGUCUGAUGUAAAAAAAUUGCAUUUUGUUCCUGAUGCUCAUGAACCUAUGAUGAUAUUCAAGUGAUAUUGGAUUUCAAUAUACUUUAAGUGCAAAUCUAUAUAUGUGUGUCAGGUUAUUUGUUUGGAGAGGAAAGAUCCCAACACCAAUAGCUCUAGGGAACAUGGGAUUCAGUGUGGCAGGAGCCAUCUAUAUGGCUAAAAGCUCCAAGGAGUUUAUGGAACGCGAGGAACCGUAAAGUCUUUUCAUGAAAGGAACACUUUGAUUUAUAUAGUGGUGGAAGAGAUGAAGGAAGAAUUGUUUGAAUGAGUAAAACACAUAUGGCGAAAGGCACACGGGUGACAUGAAAUGAAUUGCCAAGAUUUGAUUUCGCAAAGAUUUGAUUACUUUGUAUGUAGUAUGUUUGUUUGCUAUAGGGUGUUGCUUUACGAUCUGUAAUUAGGACUGAUAUAGCAUCUUGCUGUUUUGUCUAUUUUGGUUAUGAAUUAAAAAUCUCUAGCAUCAUGGUAUGGUGGCUUCAAGAUCAAUGUUAUUUGUUGCAUGCUCAGAAACAUGCUAUUUUGGGAUUGGUUAGAGGGUUUAUGUUCAUUAUGGUUGGUUUAUUGUUGGGAAGAUUUUGGUGUCGAUGGAAGAGCAAUUUAUAUGCCAG